CCCCUGGCGUGUGAAAUGGAUGUUAGUGACUAAAGCUCAAUUUUCCAGUUAAGGGAGGAGCCGAGACUUUUAAGUCGAGUGUUCCUGUGGGGCCAAAAGGAUGGUUUCAGAGAAAUCCCAGGAAGUGAGAGUGCUGGGAUAUGCGAGGGGCCCACGGAGCCCUCCCCUGCGUGUCUGAGAUCACACCCUGCGGGUACCCUGCCGUCGUGUGCUGAAGGAGAGAGAAAGGCUAGACUUACAGGGUGACCAAUAAUGCUGGUUUAUCCAAGAAGGGGAUUCCCAAGACACAGGGCUGUCAGUGCUAAACCAGGGUGUUCCUGUCCAACUUGGCUUCCAUAAGAACUUCAAUCAAAUUCACAGACCACAUUCAAAUUUGUCAAUUGUCCUAAUAAUAGCUAUUAUAGGUUCAGGAUCAUACAUAAUGUGUAGUUGUCAUCUCUCUUUAGUUUUCUUCAACCUGGACCAGUUCCUGAGUCUUACCUUAUUUUUAUGAUCUUGACAUUUUUAAAAAGAGCAGGUUACUCACUUUGUAGAAAGUCCAUCAAUUUGGGUUUGUUUAGUAUUUCUUCAUAAUUACAUGUAAGUUAUACAAUUUUUGGCCGAAUUGUAUAAAAAGUGAUGCUAUGUUCUAAUGGCAUCCUAUCAGGACAUAUACAAUAUCCAUUUAUCCUAUGCUGUUUUAACUUUUAUAAGAUAAUGUCUGACUCCUCUAUUGUAAAAUUAACUAUUAAAUAUUUGGUAUUAAUAUGUAGUCUGUGGAGAUAACUUUGGAAUUAUGUAAAUAUUCUAUUCCUUAUCAAAUGUUCACUUACUAGUUUUAGGAUCCAGUGAUGAGUCUUCCUUGAAUCAGUUUUUAUGAUAAUGAUUGCACAAUGAUCCUAACUCUAUCAUUUCUUCUAUGCUUAUUAGUUGGCAUCUUACUACAAGGUAGAGUUUUCCAUUCUGCCCCAGUUAUUUAUUUAUUCAUGCAUUUAUUCAUGCAUUUAUUCAUAUCAGCACAGACUUGUGAAUUUCUAUUUUAUUCAGUGGAUUAUAUCUGUUAUUAGCAUUAUUUGUUUUGAUGCUUAAAUUAUCCCAGAUUUGGUCAGUGGAAACUUUAUUAAGUUGGUUUCUGUGUUCUUAUGAAUAAAAGGAAUAAUAAUACUGCUUA
rnacentral:lncRNA from 1 species